rnacentral:tRNA from 1 species
CUUUUACCACUAAACUAUACCCG